rnacentral:misc_RNA from 1 species
CUUAGGCUGAGAGAAAUAGUUCAGAAGAGAAAAAGAAUAAGACGAGCAUUUUUAGCGAACGUGUUCCUUGGCAAGAAGCAAUGAAAAUAACAACCUGGUAAAAAAUUAUCUAACAAUAGGGGAAAACAUAAUGAUACAUUAGACAUGGGCAAACCCUUCCCUAAAAAAUGCCUCACAAAAAGCAUAAUUUAAUUGUACUCUAGUUGCUGUAUUGAGAACCU